rnacentral:rRNA from 1 species
UACGUAGGGUCCGAGCGUUUGUCCGGAAUUAUUGGGCGUAAAGGGCUCGUAGGCGGUUUGUCGCGUCGGGAGUGAAAACACGGGGCUUAACCCCGUGCCUGCUUCCGAUACGGGCAGACUAGAGGUAUGCAGGGGAGAACGGAAUUCCUGGUGUAGCGGUGAAAUGCGCAGAUAUCAGGAGGAACACCGGUGGCGAAGGCGGUUCUCUGGGCAUUACCUGACGCUGAGGAGCGAAAGUGUGGGGAGCGAACAGG